UACAGAGGGGGCAAGCGUUGUUCGGAAUUACUGGGCGUAAAGGGCGCGUAGGCGGCCUUCUAAGUCAUGCGUGAAAUCCCCGGGCUCAACCCGGGAACUGCGUCUGAUACUGGAAGGCUUGAAUCCGGGAGAGGGAUGUGGAAUUCCGGGUGGAGCGGUGAAAUGCGUAGAGAUCCGGAGGAACACCGACGGCGUAGGCAGCGCCCUAGACGAGACCUGACGCUCAGGCACGAAAGCGCGGGGAGCGAACAGG
rnacentral:rRNA from 1 species